rnacentral:tRNA from 1 species
GGAGAUGUAGCUCCGUGAUAGGGCACUUGUCUAGCAUGCAUGAAGUCCUAGGUUCAGUCCCUGUCACCUCCA